CUUAUUUUGGUUAACCCAUCCAUUUGAAAGUAUUUCAUCUGGAUUUACCCAUCUCCAUGCCAUACCCCAUGCAAAGAAUAAAUGCCAUGCCCCAUUUAUUUUAGGCAUUAAGAGGAGAAGUCCUCACUUACUCCUCUUAAAUUCCUUACCAUAUUCCAUGCAUUUUUUUUAUUUUCUCAUGUCAUGUGAUGGCUCUUGGAUUUGUGGGUGCCAA
rnacentral:lncRNA from 1 species